AGAGUUUGAUCCUGGCUCAGGAUGAACGCUGGCGGCGUGCUUAACACAUGCAAGUCGAACGAUCCUUCGGGAUAGUGGCGGACGGGUGAGUAACGCGUGGGAAUCUGCCCUUAGGAUGGGGAUAACGGCUGGAAACGGCCGCUAAUACCCCAUAUGCCGAGAGGUGAAACGAAUUUCGCCUGAGGAUGAGCCCGCGUCUGAUUAGCUAGUUGGUGGGGUAAAGGCCUACCAAGGCGACGAUCAGUAGCUGGUCUGAGAGGAUGAUCAGCCACACUGGGACUGAGACACGGCCCAGACUCCUACGGGAGGCAGCAGUGGGGAAUUUUCCGCAAUGGGCGAAAGCCUGACGGAGCAACGCCGCGUGAGGGAUGAAGGCCUCUGGGCUGUAAACCUCUUUUCUCAAGGAAGAAGAACUGACGGUACUUGAGGAAUAAGCCACGGCUAAUUCCGUGCCAGCAGCCGCGGUAAUACGGGAGUGGCAAGCGUUAUCCGGAAUUAUUGGGCGUAAAGCGUCCGCAGGCGGCCUUGUAAGUCUGUUGUUAAAGCGUGGAGCUCAACUCCAUUUAAGCAAUGGAAACUACAAGGCUGGAGUGUGGUAGGGGCAGAGGGAAUUCCCGGUGUAGCGGUGAAAUGCGUAGAUAUCGGGAAGAACACCAGUGGCGAAGGCGCUCUGCUGGGCCAUAACUGACGCUCAUGGACGAAAGCCAGGGGAGCGAAAGGGAUUAGAUACCCCUGUAGUCCUGGCCGUAAACGAUGAACACUAGGUGUCGGGGGAAUCGACCCCCUCGGUGUCGUAGCCAACGCGUUAAGUGUUCCGCCUGGGGAGUACGCACGCAAGUGUGAAACUCAAAGGAAUUGACGGGGGCCCGCACAAGCGGUGGAGUAUGUGGUUUAAUUCGAUGCAACGCGAAGAACCUUACCAGGGUUUGACAUCCUGCGAAUCCCUUGGAAACGAGGGAGUGCCUUCGGGAGCGCAGUGACAGGUGGUGCAUGGCUGUCGUCAGCUCGUGUCGUGAGAUGUUGGGUUAAGUCCCGCAACGAGCGCAACCCACGUCUUUAGUUGCCAGCAUUCAGUUGGGCACUCUAGAGAGACCGCCGGUGAUAAACCGGAGGAAGGUGUGGAUGACGUCAAGUCAUCAUGCCCCUUACAUCCUGGGCUACACACGUACUACAAUGCUACGGACAAAGGGCAGCAAGCUCGCGAGAGUUAGCAAAUCCCAUAAACCGUGGCUCAGUUCAGAUCGUAGGCUGCAACUCGCCUACGUGAAGGAGGAAUCGCUAGUAAUCGCUGGUCAGCAUACUGCGGUGAAUACGUUCCCGGGCCUUGUACACACCGCCCGUCACACCAUGGAAGUUGGCCAUGCCCGAAGUCGUUACUCCAACCCUUGUGGAGGAGGACGCCGAAGGUGGGGCUGAUGACUGGGGUGAAGUCGAAACAAGGUA
rnacentral:rRNA from 1 species